rnacentral:lncRNA from 1 species
CCAUAUCCACCCAAAUAAAAAAAAAUUCAUGAUUAAAGAUAAAAUAAAAAUUAAAUUGAAAAAUACAUAUCAAAAGUUUCAUAUUUUAACAAAAUUAAUUACCUCCUUCCUCAUCCUCCCAAUCCUCCUCAUCUCCUCCUCCAAGACCUUGAUUCAUAUGCGAGAUCAUAAAUUAUUCAAAUCUUUGUGCGUGCUCAUUUGCAAACCCGCAUUGCUUUCUCAUAU